rnacentral:rRNA from 1 species
UACGUAGGAGGCGAGCGUUGUCCGGAAUUAUUGGGCGUAAAGAGCUCGUAGGCGGUCAGUCGCGUCUGCUGUGAAAACUCGGGGCUUAACUCCGGGCCUGCAGUGGGUACGGGCUGACUAGAGUGCGGUAGGGGAGACUGGAAUUCCUGGUGUAGCGGUGAAAUGCGCAGAUAUCAGGAGGAACACCGGUGGCGAAGGCGGGUCUCUGGGCCGUAACUGACGCUGAGGAGCGAAAGCGUGGGGAGCGAACAGG